rnacentral:lncRNA from 1 species
UAUCCUAUUCGUUCUACUGAAAAAACUAAUCCUCCAAAACAAAAUCUAAUGAUUUUAACUGGUGAUGAUUUUCAGAGCUAUAUUUAAAUUCAAGAUCUUUGAUAAAGUUGCAUGGAACCCGAACCAUCUUAUCCAAAAGAUUUCAUUGUGGGAUAAUUGAAAUAGUCGACCAUGAUCAAGUUUUGGUGUUUCCAUCAUGAGUGAUGAAUAUCCCUUGUUCUCCCUGAGUAUGACUAAGCAAAAGCAGCAAAAGACAGUCCUGGGAGGUGGCACGGCCGUGCCAAGCUUCUGAUUUGGGGGAGACAUAUUUUUGUCUCCGAAUCUUCGUAUUUUUGCUCCGAAUCAGCUCCAAACCCCUUUCUUUUGCUCAAAGAUUCAAUUCAUCAAAUAUUCAUUCUUGAAAUAUAAUAAUAUGCAAUUUGAAGUAAAAUAGUUCUAAAAGGAAAUAACAUUUAAAUAAAAUAAACUUAAAUUUAAAUAAAACGAAACUAAAUAUUAUACUAAAACAACUAAUUAAUGACUCAUCAAUUUGACCGUUAACAACGUUUUUGGUCUUUGCCAUAUGAGGCAAAUUUGAUUUUAGUCCCUGUAAUUAUUUUAAAGCAACUCCACCAUUAUCAUGUUAUAUUCAUUUACAUUUGGUCCUUGUUGUAAUCUAGCAACGCAAAAAUAUUGUGUUCAUCUUAGUUUCAAAGUGAGUUCAACUCAAUCCCUAUGAACCAUCACGAUUUUAAUCAAAGUGACAAAGUGCAUGUUUGAUACCAUAUGUUUGUCAAAAUCAAGAUGAUUCACCGUCAUUUUGACAAUGUGAUUCUUAACAUGCACAAAGUGUAUGUAUUACAAAUACUACAAAAUAUGUUGGAAAAAAAAUAUAUAUAUAUAGCUUAUGUAAACUCAGAGUAGUUCAAUGUUAUUUUAAUAAAUUAACUCAAACCUAAUAAGAAACCUGCAACAAAACUACUACACAUUUAAAAAGAAGAAAGUAUAGCAUACCGUGAGACCAAACUAUGGUCAUCAAACUAAAGAUUUACCCAAAAGAUUGGACUUGGCUUAGCGCCUUAGGCUCAAUGUAACUUGAGUUAAGUACAAAAUUUAACGAUUAUAUUAGAGCAUGUCCUCCCUAAUAAACUUUUGAAUUAUAGACAAAACGACAAAAAAAUCAUGGUCAACACUUAGCAAAAUUGAGUACCAAUAGGAGACAAAUAAAAUAUGUAAUUUGGAGUUUUGUAUCUUGCUAUCCGCGUU